CCUACGGGGGGCAGCAGUCGAGAAUCAUUCACAAUGGAGGAAAGCCUGAUGGUGCGACGCCGCGUGGGGGAAUGAAGGUCUUCGGGUUGUACACCCCUGUCAUGUGGGAGCAAAUUCAAAAGAUCGUACCUCAAUAGGAAGAGACGGCUAACUCGGGUCCAGCAGCCGCGGUAAUCCAGCGGUAUCAAGCGUUAUUCGUAUCCACUGGGCUUAAAGCGUGCGUAGGCGGUUUCGGAAGUCGUGUGUGAAACGCGCGGGCUCAACCCGCGGACGGCAUCUGAUACUGGGAGACUAGAGAAAUGUAGGGGUAACCGGAAUGCUCGGUGUAGCAGUGAAAUGCGUAGAUAUC
rnacentral:rRNA from 1 species